rnacentral:tRNA from 1 species
AUCUAAUUAGUUUAAGGAAAAUGUUAAGUUGUGGAUUUAAAGAUGUGUUACAUUAGAUA